rnacentral:rRNA from 1 species
UACGGAGGAUGCGAGCGUUAUCCGGAUUUAUUGGGUUUAAAGGGUGCGUAGGCGGGCUUUUAAGUCAGCGGUAAAAAUUCGGGGCUCAACCCCGUCCGGCCGUUGAAACUGGGGGUCUUGAGUGGGCGAGAAGAAGGCGGAAUGCGUGGUGUAGCGGUGAAAUGCAUAGAUAUCACGCAGAACCCCGGUUGCGAAGGCAGCCUUCCGGCGCCCUACUGACGCUGAGGCACGAAAGUGCGGGGAUCGAACAGG